AUGCCCACCCGACAAUGGAGCAUAAAAUUCCCCAACCUCGCAAUCGCCUCCAUUCCGGCAGAUGAAACCCUAGGACCCGAUGGCCUAGCCACCAUUCCCAGACACAGCCCGCCCGCCGCCGCCGCCAUGCCGCCGUUCCGGCGCUGGGCGGAUCUGCCGGCGGACCUCCUCUGCCGCAUCGGCGACAGCCUCGACCUCAAGUGCUACGCCAGCGCGCGGGGCGCCUGCACGGCCUGGCGAUGCGCGCUCUCGCCGCCGUCCCCGUCGCUCCUCGUCGUCCUCGACGACGCCAGGUGCUGCCCGUCCGCCGCGUCGCUCCCCACCCACCGCUCCUUCGAGCUCAAGAACAUCCUCUCGGGGGGCCGAUGCGUCGGCUCCAGCAACGGCUGGCUCGCCCUCUCCGUCUGCCUCUACGGCGGCCAGAGCAUGUUCAGCCUCUUCAACCCCAUCACCGCCACGGAGAUCCUUCUGCCGCCGCUGAUCUACGAGAGCCGCUGGGUCUCCAAGCUCGUCUUCGCGCCCAACCCCGCCAGGGACGACUUCGCCGCCGCCGCCAUCUGCGACAUCGACAGGCUCGCCUACGUCACCGCGGGGGCCAGGAGGUGGGCCAUCCUCGAUCCCGUUCGCCUCUCCAGCGGAGAUCAGCUCGCCGAUGUCGUCUACCAUGAAAAAGGUAGGGUCUACUGCCUCACCCGCUAUGGAGAUGUCCACGUGCUCCGCCUGCCGGAGCGCCGCCGCAGGAAGCCUAUCGUCGUCGAGGAUCCAGCUGGCCCAUCAGAGCCAGAGAUGCCUUUAGGGCGUCCCUCACUCAGUCUUCAGGGAAGAAGACAGCGCAACUUGCGCAUGCUCUGCUAUGAACAUCGUAGAUGGAGAGAGCAGCAGCUUCCAAUUGCUACAAUGAAGGCUGCCUUCUGCCCAGAUGUGUUUAUGCCUCUUAGGAGAGUUCCUCCUGGAUCUGUCGGACCGGAUCUAAAUGCACCGGCCACAGUCGAGCCCAUGUUGUCUGAGUGCAACCUACCGUUCGACCCUGCUACCUGUUUUGCCGCGCCAUACAACACGGUGUCGGUUUUUACUAGUGCCAAGAACCUGGUGUUCUGCGACGGUAAUCUGUAUCAAAUCUGGAGGAAUGCAAGCUGCACGGUUACUUUGCAGCUGCCAGGAGGCGGUCACCGCCGUGUAGCCGAGAAUGAAAUACUUGUUCUCAGGUAUUAUCCCCGGCGCCAACCAUGCUGGGAUGCCGUGACGGACUUGGGAGGCUACUCGGUGUUUGUUGGGAGGAACAAUGCGGUAUCGAUGUAUGCUGAAGAUGUUCCAGGACUGAAGGGUAAUUGCGUGUAUUGGAUCGGCGGGAGGGGCAGGGAUCAGGGCAUGGUCUUUGACAUGGGGACUGGGAGGUCUACACCUUGCCUUCCCGUUGCUGGUGCUGGUGUCGUUCCGGGGCCUCCACAGAGCACAAUCUGCUGGUACUUUCUCAGCGACAUAGUGAAUAACUGCAACAUAAGUGCACGAAGAAAAGUUUAUCAGACCCGGGCAAGGGUCCGGGCUGAACGUGAGCAAGAUUUGGAGGAUUGA
rnacentral:rRNA from 1 species